rnacentral:rRNA from 1 species
GACGAACGCUGGCGGCGUGCUUAACACAUGCAAGUCGAACGGAAAGGCCCUGCUUUUGUGGGGUGCUCGAGUGGCGAACGGGUGAGUAACACGUGAGUAACCUGCCCUUGACUUUGUGAUAACUUCAGGAAACUGGGUCUAAUACCGGAUAGGAGCUCCUGCUGCAUGGUGGGGGUUGGAAAGUUUCGGCGGUUGGGGUUGGACUCGCGGCUUAUGAGCUUGUUGGUGGGGUAGUGGCUUACCAAGGCUUUGACGGGUAGCCGGCCUGAGAGGGUGACCGGCCACAUUGGGACUGAGAUAAGGCCGAGACUCCUACGGGAGGCAGAAGUGGGGAAUAUUGCACAAUGGGCGGAAGCCUGAUGCAGCAACGCCGCGUGCGGGAUGACGGCCUUCGGGUUGUAAACCGCUUUCGCCUGUGACGAAGCGUGAGUGACGGUAAUGGGUAAAGAAGCACCGGCUAACUACGUG